GGACUACUAGGGUAUCUAAUCCUGUUUGCUCCCCACGCUUUCGUGCACUCAGCGUCAAUCUCAGCCCAGGGGGCUGCCUUCGCCAUCGGUGUUCCUCCACAUCUCUACGCAUUUCACUGCUACACGUGGAAUUCCACCCCCCUCUGCCAGAUUCAAGUCCCCUAGUUUCCACUGCCAUUCCCAGGUUAAGCCCGGGGAUUUCACAACGGACUUGGAGAACCGCCUACGCACGCUUUACGCCCAGUAAUUCCGAUUAACGCUCGCACCCUACGUAUUACCGCGGCUGCUGGCAC
rnacentral:rRNA from 2 species